rnacentral:lncRNA from 1 species
CUGCAGCCAUGCUAAGCCAAGGAGCAACAUGCUCUGAUUACGUUUUAAAGAGCCCCUGGGCAGCCGCGUGGACAGUAAGAGGUAGGGUGGCCACUGCUUAUGUCAGUGCAGCUCUGCUGGAACCCCGGGGUGCCCGUGUUUCCGUGUCCUCUGAGGCUUCCUUUGCCCUGAGGCCCAGUUGGUUCAUUGCGACAGGGACUGUGCGGCCACCAGGCUGAGUACCUACCAUCUGGCCCUCACAGGGAAGGCUGGCUGCCCCUGCACCGAGGAGGCGUGGGCAAUGGGUGCAGUUUGAAUGGGGAGACACUGGGGCACCUUUUGGAGCUUCCGUCAACAGGACUGACGGGCAGCUUGGAUGUGGGGGAAAGGAAAGGAUGGAUUCGUGGGCCGGGCUCCUGUCCCGAGUGACGGCGGGCCAUGUGCUGAGAGGGAAGACGGCAUCUGGGCAGGAAAACCAAGAGGUCUUUCCUGGGCAUGCCUAAUGCCUUGGGGCCAGCAGGGCAGGGGGCAUCUUCCUGCACAGGGAUCCACUGGGCUCUGAGGCCCCUCGGGCCAUUCCGUGUCACCAUGAGGGUGCUCUGUAGGGGACCACCCUUUCCAUCCACAGGACAGGGUCCCUGGGAGAGGCAAGAGACAGAAGCUAAGAGGCUUCACAGCAGAAGAGGCAUCAGCUCUGACUUUGGCCGAAGGACCCACCGAUGGCGAGGGUAAUUAGGAGAGUUAGUGCUAGCGCCACGUCCAUGAGUGUCCACUUAACUGCUGAGUGGAGAGACCAUGGGCUCCCCUUUAGCCCCUAAAGUGGCCUCCCUCCCUGGGCUGGACACCUUUGUCUCCAAUGCCAACAUGGUCACCAAAGUGCUUGGGGUGACAUGGCAUGAGGGCACUGGCAAGACACGGUGGAGUCAUUCGCCCUUCCAGGUGUCCAGCGGAGCCUUGGACUGUGUUCACUGCUCCUUCAUUCUUUCCUGUCCUCCCUCUUCUCCCACCUUGAAGUGCCUCCCAAACCACCACCAGCCUCCCUCCUUCCAGCCUGGACCAACACACGAGCUCCUUGCUGGCCAUUCAUCACCUUGGCUGGACCUCAUGGGGCUUCCGGGAGGACCGUCCCAGGACACACAAUCCUGUGAUGGACCACAAUGUGGCAGGAACCGCAGCCCCCGUCCCCAGGGCAUGGCACACUCCCCGUCCUCCAGCUGUGGCUCACCAUAGGGCCACAGACCCUGGUCCUCGGGCCGUGGCUGCAAGCUGCAGAGGACCUGGCCUGGGCUAAUCAGAGAAUCCCCCUCCUCCCGGCCCAGAGCGUUCGUCAGCAGCUGGGCCACCAGGAGGCCAGGCUGGCCUUUCCAGCCAAUUGAGCUGACAGCUGAGAGAGACACAGGA